UAGGGAAUAUUGCUUAAUGGGCGAAAGCCUGAAGCAGCAACGCCGCGUGGACGAAGAAGGCCUUCGGGUUGUAAAGUUCUUUUAUAUGGGAUGAGGAAGGACAGUACCAUAUGAAUAAGUCUCGGCUAACUACGUGCCAGCAGCCGCGGUAAAACGUAGGAGACGAGCGUUAUCCGGAUUUACUGGGCGUAAAGAGCGUGUAGGAGGCAAUACAAGUUGGAUGUAAAAGCUCUCGGCUAAACUGAGAGAGGACGUUCAAGACUGUAGAGCUAGAGGAAGGCAGAGGUAGAUGGAACUCCGGGAGUAGUGGUGAAAUGCGUAGAUAUCCGGAAGAACACCAGAGGCGAAAGCGAUCUACUGGGCCUUAACAGACACUGAGACGCGAAAGCCAGGGUAGCAAACG
rnacentral:rRNA from 1 species